AUUGAACGCUGGCGGCAGGCCUAACACAUGCAAGUCGAACGAGUCGCGGACGUGUUAGUAAUGUCUGGGAAACUGCCUGAUGGAGGGGGACAACUACUGGAAACUGUAGCUACUACCGCAUACCAUCAGAUGUGCCCAGAUGGGAUUAGCUUGUUGGUGGGGUAACGGCUAACCAAGGCGACGAUCCCUAGCUGGUCUGAGAGGAUGCCCAGGCACACUGGAACUGAGACAUGGUCCAGACUCCUACGGGAGGCAGCAGUGGGGAAUAUUGCACAAUGGGCGAAAGCCUGAUGCAGCCAUGCCGCGUGUAUGAAGAAGGCCUUCGGGUUGUAAAGUACUUUAAGCGGGGAGGCGUUACCCGCAGAAGAAGCACCGGCUAACUACGUGCCAGCAGCCGCGGUAAUAC
rnacentral:rRNA from 1 species